rnacentral:rRNA from 1 species
AUGGUGGGAACUUCCGNAAUUGGGGCCGAAAGCCCUGAACGNCAACCAACGCCCGCGUGAGUGAUGAAGGUCUUCGGAUCGUAAAACUCUGUUAUUAGGGAAAAACAAAUGUGUAAGUAACUAUGCACGUCUUGACGGUACCUAAUCAAAAAGCCACGGCUAACUACGUGCCAGCAGCCGCGGUAAUACGUAGGUGGCAAGCGUUAUCCGGAAUUAUUGGGCGUAAAGCGCGCGUAGGCGGUUUUUUAAGUCUGAUGUGAAACCCCACGGCUCAACCGUGGAGGGUCAUUGGAAACUGGAAAACUUGAGUGCAAAAAAAGAAAGUGAAAUUCCAUGUGUAGCGGUGAAAUGCGCAAAGAUAUGGAGGAACACCAGUGGCAAAGGCCACUUUCUGGUCUGUAACUGACGCUGAUGUGCAAAAGCGUGGGGAUCAAACAAAAUUAGAUACCCUGGUAACUCCCACGCAAA